AAGAAAGUGGCAGAGUGGUAAUGUGUCUGGCUUGAAACCAGGAUAUGGAGGUUCGAUUCCUUCCUUUCUCG
rnacentral:tRNA from 1 species